rnacentral:lncRNA from 1 species
UUACAUUACAUCCGAAAACCUGAAUAAACAAGCCUCGCGACUCACAAGGUAAGCACCAAUGAGUGCAACAAAAGGGGAGAGUAGUUGUACCAGAAAGGCCGGUGAGAAUGCAAGCAGGAUCAUGAGAAAUGAGUGUGCAAGGUAGCCUCUGAUGACCAGAUCUGGAUCACGCACAGGUUGCUAUCAGCAACUGGUAUGGCGAGAUUAAAUCGCUCAUAGAAAAAUAUGUGACUCGGAGAAAUGACGAGGCGUGCAGGACGCAGCAGGCAAUGCGGCGGUGCCGGCGACAGGUGGCGUGGCCAUCCGGCGCACAGGAUUCGGA